CUCGCCGUAUUUCAAUGGAUAGAAUUCGGCCCUCCGAAGGCUGAGAUCCAGGUUCGAUUCCUGGCGGCGGGACCA
rnacentral:tRNA from 1 species